UGACUAGAUCGAAAUACUCGUCCC
rnacentral:miRNA from 1 species